rnacentral:misc_RNA from 1 species
AAAGUCGUAACAAGGUCUCCGUAGGUGAACCUGCGGAGGGAUCAUUAAUAAGAUUUGGGCUCAUUUCGGGUCCUCAAUCCUCAAACCUGUGGAAGCGAGAAGUGCUUCGGCGCCUCUGGGCGUCGAAUCUAUGCUGUUUAGCCUGUGUCUGAAGAAAAACAAAAUUUUAAAACUUUCAACAAAGGAUCUCUUGGCUCUC